rnacentral:sRNA from 1 species
UUUUAGCCGCGAUUGAAACGGCAUCCUUUUCUUUUCGGCAAGCGCCGGAAAGUAAAAGAUAUAGUGGAAAGCGGGUGAGAUC